UAAGUAAACAUGAUAAUCUUAAAUAAAUUAUUAUUUCAAUAUAAAUGUAAAUAGUAUCCACGAAAAAAUUAACAGAAGAAUAACGGCAGGAAAUAAACAUAGAUAUCAACAAAGUCGGAUUGAAAAAAGACUGUUAGUAUUCAAAAGGAAAAUCCUACAUAGAAUCCAUGGGCCUAAAAGAAACCAGUAAUCUAUAUUCUAUACUUCACAUCUCAUAUACAUCGACAAUAAUAAUUGAUUCAUCGUCGAUUCGUAGAUUCUAUAUGCACACAUUCUGAGGUGGGUCGUAUAAUAUUAUAAUACAUAUACAUUGAAAUUCAAAUUUUACAGAAAAAACAUAAAACUUAUUUUAUGUAACUUAUUAUGUUCCUUUUUCGAAAUAAAUGAAAUAAAGAUA